GACAAGAAAUUGUUGACACAUAUUAAAAUUGGAACGAUACAGAGAAGAUUAGCAUGGCCCCUUGCACGGCACGAAAAGUGUGAAAUUAUU